rnacentral:rRNA from 1 species
UCAGAUCAGAAGCGAGAAUGUUGACAUGAGUAGCGACAAACAGGGUGAGAGACCCCGUCGCCGAAAGUCCAAGGGUUCCUGCUUAAAGCUAAUCUGAGCAGGGUAAGCCGGCCCCUAAGGCGAGGCCGAAAGGCGUAGUCGAUGGGAACCAGGUUAAUAUUCCUGGGCCAGGAGGAAGUGACGGAUCUCAAAGGUAGUUUGCCCUUAUCGGAUUGGGUGGGCUGCUCAGAGGUCCCUGGAAAUAGCCCUCCAUCAGACCGUACCCUAAACCGACACAGGUGGACUGGUAGAGUAUACCAAGGCGCUUGAGAGAACCACAUCAAAGGAACUCGGCAAAAUGCCUCCGUAAGUUCGCGAGAAGGAGGCCCCACUUUUACGCAAGUAGAGGUGGGGGGCACAAACUAGGGGGUGGCGACUGUUUACUUAAAACACAGGGCUCUGCGAAGCCGUAAGGCGACGUAUAGGGCCUGACGCCUGCCCGGUGCUGGAAGGUUAAAAGGAGGGGUGCAAGCUCCGAAUUGAAGCCCCAGUAAACGGCGGCCGUAACGAUAACGGUCCUAAGGUAGCGAAAUUCCUUGUCGGGUAAGUUCCGACCUGCACGAAUGGCGUAACGAUCUCCCCGCUGUCUCUGAUGUGGACUCAGCGAAAUUGAACUGUGUGUCAAGAUGCACACUACCCGCGGUUAGACGGAAAGACCCCAUGAACCUUUACUCUAGCUUUGCACUGGCAUCAGGAUUGUGAUGUGCAGGAUAGGUGGUAGGCAUUGAAACCGGGACGCCAGUCUCGGUGGAGCCUCCCUUGAGAUACCACCCUUCGCACUCUUGAUGUCUAACCGCGGCCCGUUAUCCGGGUCCGGGACCCUGCAUGGUGGGGAGUUUGACUGGGGCGGUCGCCUCCCAAAUCGUAACGGAGGCGCGCGAAGGUUGGCUCAGAGCGGUCGGAAAUCGCUCGUUGAGUGCAAUGGCAGAAGCCAGCCUGACUGCGAGACUGACAAGUCGAGCAGAGACGAAAGUCGGCCAUAGUGAUCCGGUGGUCCCAAGUGGGAGGGCCAUCGCUCAACGGAUAAAAGGUACUCUGGGGAUAACAGGCUGAUGAUGCCCAAGAGUCCAUAUCGACGGCAUCGUUUGGCACCUCGAUGUCGGCUCAUCUCAUCCUGGGGCUGGAGCAGGUCCCAAGGGUAUGGCUGUUCGCCAUUUAAAGAGGUACGUGAGCUGGGUUUAGAACGUCGUGAGACAGUUCGGUCCCUAUCUGCCGUGGGUGUAGGAGACUUGAGAAGAGUUGCCCCUAGUACGAGAGGACCGGGGUGAACGAUCCACUGGUGGACCAGUUGUCGUGCCAACGGCAGUGCUGGGUAGCUAUGAUCGGACAGGAUAAACGCUGAAGGCAUCUAAGCGUGAAGCCCCCUUCAAAACGAGGUCUCCCUUGAGGACCGUGGAAGACCACCACGUCGAUAGGCCGGAGGUGUAAGUGCGGCAACGCAUUCAGCUGACCGGUACUAAUUGCUC